rnacentral:rRNA from 1 species
UGAUUCCCCUAGUAACGGCGAGUGAAGAGGGAAAAGCUCAAAGUUGGAACCUGGCUGUCUUAGAUAGUCCGGAUUGUAAACUAAAGAGCGUGAAUCCAGGCAAGCCGGUUGAUCAAGUCCUUUGGAAUGAGGCGCCACUGAGGGUGAGAGCCCCGUAAAUCGACUGAGCAUUUGUCUUUUGUGUUUCGCGUUCAAAGAGUCAGGUUGUUUGGGAAUGCAGCCUAAAGCUGGUGGUAAAUCCCACCUAAAGCUAAAUACAGGCGAGAGACCGAUAGCGAACAAGUACCGUGAGGGAAAGAUGAAAAGUACUUUGAAAAGAGAGUUAAACAGUAUGUGAAAUUGCCAAGAGGGAAGCAUUUGGAGUUAGACUGACUUGAAGUUAAUCAGCUUGGUCUUUGGACUGGGUGUACUUGACUUCUAUGUCUGCCAAUAGCAGUUAGUCCUGGUGGAAAAAACUGAAGGGAAGGUAGUCCUUCGGGAUGUUUAUAGACCUUUGGAAAAUACACUGGGAUUGACUGAGGAAUGCAGUAGAUGCUAUUAAGGCUUCGUCUAGUAGGUGUUAGGUGAAGGUACUUGGUAUUUUCAGCUUGCUGAUGUGCUAGGUUACUUGAGCUUAAUUGCUUGCUAGAACUGUAAUC